GACCACUAGUCUGAGGUGGGGGAACAGGGAAAAGCUGAAGGGAGACCAAGGUCAGCUGAAGAGGAAUGCAGAAAGGUCAGGCUGAGCGCGUGGGGGGGGGCAGAGAAGGAGAAAAGAGGAGAUGUGAACAGACAGGUAGAAUUAUUCUACAGAUAUCUCCCAUAUGAGCGGGGGCAGAGCCGUGACCAGCAGGAUAAUAGAGACACAUGGACAAAAGACCUCUGAAGCAGAGGCAGAUUCACGGCCAUCGAAGGUUAAGCCGCUCCACUGUUUUCAGGCCUCUCCGGAUUAACAUCCAUUCUCUCUGUAGUCUCUUCAAAUGCUGCAAGAAUGGAUCAAGCCCCAGGAUCUGCACCUCAGCUGGACUGAAGCACAGUGACACAUGAGCUUGAAGGGGUGUUCAGGGUCAUUUGCAGCUUUUGCUCUGCACGACGGCAGCAACUUUGAUGUCGGAGAGAGUUGAAAGACCAGUGAUGUUAGAAUUAGCACGUCUGUGGCUGUCUGGGACUGUCAGUGCCGUGAAACAGCAGAUGGAGUGUUGGAGGAUAAUUAGAGGAAGACAGACUCUGUGAGUCCUGAAAACAUGUUGAGUAGCCUGCUGGCUAAAAAGAGGCCUUUGAGUUAAAAGACAGCAAAGAGGGGUUUGCCGGCUGCAUUGUAAGAGGUUUCCCAUCAAAAUUUAAUAGCAUUUGAAGCUCCCUUUAGUGUUCACUGCUCGGUUCUGGAUUUCACUGGAGUUGGUUCACGGUCAGGUUAUUAUAAAUGACCUAUAAAGAGUUUUAAGCUGCAGACAGCAUAGCUAUGUGGACACCCGGAAAGUAAAAUCAAGCAGGAAUUAUCUAGGUAGGGUUAUUUGUAGCUGAUGCUAGGAACCUUUCAAUUCCUAUAGGUAUGGCAUGGUAGCAAAAGGUUACAGCAGACGACACACUGUGCUGGAUUUAGGCCUUUUCGACUCGUGGGCCACAAAGGGUUCUAAAAUUCAAUAGAAGGGUCAGACCAGGAGCAGAGUGUUUUGGUAAUCCACCUUGUAAGAGAAGGAAAUAAGAGCCUAAUGGUAAUUUUAUUUGUAGUGCACUUUUUAUGGUGAGACUCCAGAAUUACAGGGAAAUAUUUCCCAGUUUGGUGGGCUAGAUUAAGUUGUUUAACAUGGAAGUAGUUUGGUGGGCUGUUUUUGUUGUUUUUUCUAAUCUAAUUUUAAACUUCUUUUAUCUUUCUUUUAUUGUGAACCCUGAAUGAGUUGUAAAGUGCAGAGGAAUAAAAUGCCAUUCAUUUAUCUAUUCAUUCAUUCAUUCAUAAUCCUUUUAAUAAAAUAACACUACUUAUGAAAUUGAAAAUAACCAAAUAACUCUCUCUGUGAUCUUCAAAGAAAAAAGUCAGAAAAUUAACACUAAUGGGCAACACUUCAAAAAUAAAACCAAGACAGGUUGUCUUCUCUGUCAUAGUCCCAUUGAGACUUUGGAGGGCUGCAGCUCCUCACACAUCUCACAUUUUGUGCUAAACUUCAUGAAUAAAACUGAGCAUCUGCACUGUGUCCUGCACAACUGGGAAGUCAAAUUAUUUUGUCUCCUGCUGCAUCUGGGCAGAAAUAUGCAUUAUUUCACCAGUCUCUCGUUUUUUGCCGGAGUUACGUUAAAAAAUUAACCUGUGAUUGAUAAAAUCCGCGAACUCCUCACUACACACUUCCUACACUUUUUUCAGACAGACUUGAACAUUUUCACACUUUUCUCUCUUGUUUAAACUCUCAAAGUUCUGAUCACAAUCAAAGAUUUGAGAAGAUUUGGACAGCUGCAUCUAACUGUACAUGAGAUACGGCAC
rnacentral:lncRNA from 1 species